UACGUAGGGGGCAAGCGUUGUCCGGAAUCAUUGGGCGUAAAGCGCGUGUAGGCGGCCCGGUAAGUCAGCUGUGAAAGUCCAGGGCUCAACCCUGGGAUGCCGGUGGAUACUGUCGGGCUCGAGUCCGGAAGAGGAGUGUGGAAUUCCUGGUGUAGCGGUGAAAUGCGCAGAUAUCAGGAGGAACACCAAUGGCGAAGGCAGCACUCUGGGACGUGACUGACGCUGAGACGCGAAAGCGUGGGGAGCAAACAGG
rnacentral:rRNA from 1 species